rnacentral:rRNA from 1 species
GAUGAACGCUGGCGGCGUGCCUAAUACAUGCAAGUCGAGCGAACAGACGAGGAGCUUACUCCUCUGACGUUAGCGGCGGACGGGUGAGUAACACGUGGAUAACCUACCUAUAAGACUGGGAUAACUUCGGGAAACCGGAGCUAAUACCGGAUAACAUGUUGAACCGCAUGGUUCAACAGUGAAAGACGGUCUUGCUGUCACUUAUAGAUGGAUCCGCGCCGCAUUAGCUAGUUGGUAAGGUAACGGCUUACCAAGGCAACGAUGCGUAGCCGACCUGAGAGGGUGAUCGGCCACACUGGAACUGAGACACGGUCCAGACUCCUACGGGAGGCAGCAGUGGGGAAUCUUCCGCAAAGGGCGAAAGCCUGACGGAGCAACGCCGCGUGAGUGAAGAAGGUCUUCGGAUCGUAAAACUCUGUUAUUAGGGAAGAACAAAUGUGUAAGUAACUAUGCACGUCUUGACGGUACCUAAUCAGAAAGCCACGGCUAACUACGUG